rnacentral:rRNA from 12 species
GUUGAUAGGCCGGGUGUGUAAGCGCAGCGAUGCGUUGAGCUAACCGGUACUAAUGAACCGUGAGGCUUAACCUUACAACGCCGAAG